rnacentral:rRNA from 1 species
ACCAGUUGUCCUGCCAAGGGCAUGGCUGGGUAGCUAUGUACGGAAUGGAUAAGCGCUGAAAGCAUCUAAGCGCGAAGCCAACUUCAAGAUAAGAUUUCCCACCGCAAGGGUAAGACCCCAGAAAGACUAUCUGGUUGAUAGGUCGAAGGUGUAAGUGCAGCAAUGUAUUUAGCUUAUCGAUACUAAUAGGUCGAGGACUUGACCAA